UACAAGUGGAUGAUGAUAGAUUGGUGGCA
rnacentral:piRNA from 1 species